rnacentral:rRNA from 1 species
AUGGAGCACCUGCGAGUGCUCAAGGAGGAGGUGGAGAUCAUGGAAGAGGAGGAAUCUCCUGAGGCGCACAAGAACGUUGUCCUCUCAAAUCCAACUCCUCCUACCAGUGAUGUUUUGGGUGCCAUGAGACCCCUUAUUGGGAAGUUGGACAUGCUUCUCCUUAGGGAUGCUCCUCAGAAAUGCUGCUCCAAGAGGAUCAAGGACAGGAUGCGCCUCCUCAAAGAUGAUGUUCAAAAGAUAAGUUCCUACCUUGAUGAACUAUUAGAGUUGGAAGACCCUCCGCCAAUGGCCAUGUGCUGGAUGAAUGAGGCACGUGACCUGUCUUACGACAUGGAGGAUUACGUCGACAGCUUAUUAUUUGUGCCGCCUGAAGAUCCCUCCCUUUUUGCUAACAACAUCAAGGCCACCAGAUCCCUCCGCAAAUGGUCCAGUCGUGUCAAGACUUCCCAGACUCAGGUUAUUAGUGCAGAAACAUUAUCGGAAUUCAGGAAGUAUGUCCAGGAGGCCAUUCAACGGCACCAGAGGUACAAUCUCCAUUCUUGCAGAACCUUGAGGCGUAGAUUUGUGUUGCAUGGCCCUAUGGUUCUUCCAAGGCCAUAUGAAGAAACUACAGACAUAGUAAUCGAUGGCCGGAUGAAUGAAUUUAUCAACUCGCUGGCUACCGAUGGGGACCAGCAGCUCAAGGUGCUUUCUGUUCUUGGAUCUGCUUGUAUUGGUAAAACCACACUUGCUAGAGUGUUGUACAACAGACUUAGGAAGCAAUACAAUUGCCGAGCUUUCAUUCGAGUAUCCAAGAAACCUGAUACAAAGAAAAUUUUCUGUGACAUGCUCUCGCAACUCAAGCGGCAACAUCCUCCGCAACAUUGUAGGGAAAUUGAUCUCGUUCACGAUAUCAAGCAAUAUCUACAAGAUAAAAGGUAUUUAAUUAUUAUUGAUGAUGUAUGGGCUGCAUCAGUAUGGGAUACUAUUAAUCAUGUUUUUCCAAAGGGUAAUCAUGGCAGCAGAAUAAUAACAACUACACAGAUCGAAGAUGUUGCAUUAACAUGUUGCUGCUAUCAGUCAGAGUAUGUUUUUGAGAUGAAAUACCUAGAUGAUGAUCAUUCUAGAAAGCUUUUCUUUAACAGACUAUUUUGCUCUGAAAGAGAUUGUCCUGAACAGUUCAAAGAUGUUCUAAAUGAAAUUGUUGAAACAUGUGAUGGUUUGCCGUUAGCCACAGUUAGCAUAGCAAGUGUUUUAGCAAGCCAGCCUGUCAUGUCAAUUGAUCUUUUGACAUACAUCCAUCGGUCGUUAAGCUCUUGCUUCUCGGCAUUAGAAAGAACUAGACAAGCACUGAAUCUGAGCUUCAACAGUCUUCCUCAAUAUUUGAAGACAUGUUUGCUUUAUCUUAGUAUGUAUCCAGAGGGCUACACAAUCUUGAAGGAUGAUUUGGUGAAGCAAUGGGUGGCUGAAGGUUUGAUCUAUACAACAGAAGGGCAAGACAUCGGGAAAGUUGCAGAAAGCUAUCUCGAUCAACUUCUUGGUAGAAGAUUCAUCCAACCGAUAUGUGUCAACUACAACAAUGAGGUGUUAUCCUGUGCAGUGCAUGGCAUGGUACAUGAUCUUAUUGCACACAAAUCUGCAGAAGAGAAUUUCAUUGUGGCAAUAGACUACAGCCAAAAGAAUGUGCCACUCUCUCAAAAGGUCCGUCGACUAUCUCUCCUCUUUGGUAAUGCAAAAUAUGCCAAGACACCAGCAAACAUCACAAAGGCACAAGUUCGGUCACUUGGAUUUUUUGGAUUACUCGAGUCUAUGCCUUGUAUUACAGAGUUCAAGCUUCUUCGUGUCCUGAACCUUCAACUGUUCGGUCAUGCUGGCGAUGACGACGGCCCUGUAGACCUCACUGGAAUUUCAGAAAUGUUUCAACUGAGAUAUAUGAAGAUUGCAGGUAAUGUCUGCAUAAAACUGCCAAACCAUGUGCUACGAUGUUUGGAAAUACUGGAUAUUGCGUAUGCAAGAGUUGCUUGUGUUCCACGAGAUAUCCAUUUACCAAACUUGUUACACCUUGGUCUUCCUCUUGAUAAAAAUCUGCUGGAUUGGAUUAACAGCAGGAUGUCUCUCAGUGUGGAGAGAGUACGCAAGCUGCAGGAUCUUCACCUGACCAGAUCUUCUGCACUUUCUUCUGACCAUCUGAAUAGAAGCAUGAGUUCUAUUUUAUCUUUACUUGGAGGACAUGGCAACCUGAAAACUUUAGUAGUGGCUCAUGGCUCAUCGGCUAAAAAUUCUCUUGGCGUUUCAGACGUCACCCUGUCAUGUGAUCUGCUGGCACCCCCACUUCUCCAGAGAUUUGAAUUCUCGCCACAUAGCCGUAUCUUGUUCUCAAGAAUUCCUCUGUGGAUUGAGAAACAUGGCAACCUAAGAAUUUUGAAGAUUGCAGUGAGGGAACUGCAGAUGAGUUGUGUUGAUAUCCUCAGAGGAUCGCCUGCCCUCACUGCUCUCUCUCUGUAUGUGGAGAAGGCGCCCUACGAAAAGAUCAUCUUUGACAAGGCUGGGUUCUCGAUUCUCAAGUACUUCAAGUUGAGGUUCACGAGUGACAUAGCUUGGAUAAAAUUUGAGAAAGGUGCAAUGCCUAAUCUCUGGAAGCUCAAGCUAGUUUUCAAUGCCAUCCCCUCUUUUGAAAAAGAUGGUACUGCACUCAUCAGCAUCGAGCAUAUGCCAGGCCUUAAAGAGAUCUCCACAAAAUUUGGGGGUGAAGCUCCUGAUCUAGAGUAUGCCUUGAGGACCUUGGUUAGUAAUCAUCCGACCAAUCCUAUAAUUAACAUGCCAUCAAAUAAGACUCUGGGGGGAGAACAACGACAUAGGAAUCUGGAGCAAGAAUCAGAUGAGAUUCUGAAGGAAGAUCCAUAUGGGAAUCUGGAGCAAGAAUCGGAUGAAAUUCUGGAGGAACAAGAGCCAGAUGAAUACGAUGAGAGAUUAGAGAGGCGACAGGCUGAUAAAAGGAUUUCAAGGUCAUCAGAUCCAUCUUCGCGUCUACAUGUUCUAGUACCAGUUGGUGCUUCUGAGAUGGGAAGUGAGCCUGAUGUGGAAAUCCCUGUGGCACCAACUACUAAUGAUAACAUGAUGUUGUCGGUCAAUCUCGAAGCAUUUGCUAGGGAAAAUUAUCCGAGCACUAACUUGGAAAGUUCUGUAAAGGAGAUGGAAAGAGUGGCAGGUUUAGAGGAUCAUCAGAUGGAAGAUAGCACACAGAAAAAGCAGAGCAAAGAUGAGGCGGACGAAGACUCAUCCAUCCACUCACCCCGGCGAGGGAGCCCUACACCGCCGCUGCUGUUGAAGAAGCCGGGAAAGAUCGCUCUCCCCUCCCACGAGUCCACCAUGGGCAGAUUCUUCUGGGCUCCAGCGCGGGACGGGGACAGGAUGCAGAUCGGGAUGUUCAAGGACGGCGACGGCAACCUGCUCGUCAACAAGGACGGCCUCCGCAUCACCCCGCAGACCGAGGAAGGCGAGGCUCCUCCUAUAGAGCCGUUAGAUAACCAUCAGUUGAGCAUACAUGAUCUGGAAGUAAUCAAAGUGAUUGGGAAAAGUAGUAGUGGAACCGUGCAAUUGGUGCGCCAGAAAUGGACUGGCCAGUUUUUUGCUCUCAAGGUUAUACAACUCAAUAUUCAGGAAAGCAUACGCAAGCAACUUGCCCAGGAGUUGAAAAUAAGUUUGUCAACACAGUGUCAAUAUGUUGUCACAUGCUAUCAGUGUUUCUAUGUCAAUGGUGUCAUUUCUAUUGCUUUGGAGUAUAUGGAUGGAGGCUCUCUGGCUGAUUUCCUGAUGACUGUUAGAACCGUUCCAGAGGCCUACCUUGCUGCAAUUUGUAAGCAGGUGUUGAAAGGACUGAUGUACUUGCAUCAUGAGAAGCGCAUUAUACACCGAGAUCUGAAACCAUCAAAUAUAUUAAUAAAUCAUAGGGGUGAAGUAAAGAUAUCAGAUUUUGGUGUUAGUGCCAUCAUUUCUAGUUCUUCUACACAGCGAGAUAUAUUUACUGGCAUAUUUAACUACAUGGCGCCAGAAAGAAUCAGCGGGCAGAAACAUGGUUAUAUGAGUGACAUAUGGAGCUUGGGCCUAGUUAUGCUGGAAUGUGCCACUGGCAAUUUCCCAUAUCCUCCUCGUGAUAGCUUUUAUGAACUUCUUGAAGCUGUUGUCGACCAACCAUCACCUUCUGCACCAUCAGACCAGUUUUCACCAGAGUUCUGUUCAUUCAUUUCUGCGUGCAUGCAAAAAGAGGCUACAAAUAGGUCAUCUGCACAAAUCCUAUCAGCUCAUCCAUUCCUGAGCAUGUACAACGACCUGAAUAUUGAUCUGGCUGACUACUUCAGGACCGCGGGAUCUCCACUUGUCACCUUCAAGAAUAAGUGA